GCCUCCGUAGCUCAGUGGAUAGAGCGUCCCUCUCCUAAAGGGCAGGCCGUGGGUUCGAUUCCCGCCGGGGGCA
rnacentral:tRNA from 1 species